AGCCACAGCCACAGGAGCAUGGGGGGAGACAGCAGAAGUUGCUCAUUAACGCUACUCCACGACUAUGCUUCAGCUCCUGUCUGGAAGCCCCUGUCUGAGAGCAGCCAGGUCCCUUAAAUUCCUUUAAUUCCAUUCUGAUCCUUUGCUAGAGAUGAGCAAUUGCCCAAGGAGUAUGAAGUCAGUGACACCAGUUUCCUUCAGAAGGUCACCUCACACCCAUUUUGGUCAGUAUUGGUCAGGUUCAAUAAAAAAAGUAGUGAAAGUAUUUGUGUCCCAUUACUGAUCCCUGAAGCCAUUCAAGGAUCCUUUAGACACAAAGGUAACCUAUUAAGGCUUAUUUCAGAGAUUGCAGUAAAGUAUUGCACAUUAUUUGUCUGCUUCAAUAGUUAAAAAAAAUGAAAUCUCAUUUCUCGGAGAUUAGUAACAUCAUUAAAAAAUGUUAAAAACAAAUACAGAGGUAACUUGAUGUGACUCUACAGGAAUAUGUAACAAUUAAUAGAUAGGGGAUAGCAGAGGUCCAUCUGUGCAGAGAUUUAGCAACAGCAGUUUUUAAACAACUGGAGAGCGUAAAUCCCAAAUAAUUAUUUUUGCCCUUUCUAAAAGCUAAGGUGAUCUGAAAUUUAGGACUAUCCAUGAACUGCACUGGAUGAUUUCACCAGAACAAAAGAGCAUCAAGAUUCACUGCAAUAUAACCUCCCAAAAACCGUCAGUUUCAAACAGCUGACUCUGGUCAGCACAUCCAGAAAUAAAUAAGAAAAG